ACGGCGUAAAAAUGACUAAAAUAACAGUCCAAUUAAACCUAGGGCGAAAGCCAGGCUGGGCUGUAGAAAGCCAUAAGCCUCAUCUAAGCACAACCCCUAACACCCAACAACUUUGACUCAUAAAAGCCAGGACACAAACUAAGAUUAGAUACCCUACUAUGCCUAGCCAUAACACACAAUUAAACUACAAAUUGUUCGCCAAACAACUACGAGUAAUACUUAAAACUUAAAAGACUUGACGGUACUUCAUCCCGACCUAGAGGAGCCUGUCUAAUAACCGACAAUCCACGAUUAACCCAACCUCUUCUUGCCCCACAGUCUAUAUACCGCCGUCGUCAGCUUACCUUGUAAAAGAAAUAAAGUGAGCUAAACAGUACCACACUAAAACGACAGGUCGAGGUGUAACUUAUGAAGGGGACCAAGAUGGGCUACAUUCUCCAACUAAGAAUACGAACAACACCAUGAAAUUAGUGUUUAAAGGCGGAUUUAGCAGUAAGAUAAGAAUAAAAUACCUAACUGAAUAUAACGCAAUGAAGUGCGCACACACCGCCCGUCACCCCUGCCACCACAAUAUUUAACCUCAAUAAACUAACCUAAAAACCAAACAGGGCAAGUCGUAACAUGGUAGGUGUACUGGAAAGUGUACCUAGAAA
rnacentral:rRNA from 1 species